AUUGAACGCUGGCGGCAUGCUUGACACAUGCAAGUCGAACGGCAGCACAGUACGUAGCAAUACGUAUGGGUGGCGAGUGGCGGACGGGUGAGUAACGCGUAGGAAUCUGCCUUGAAGCGGGGGACAACCCGAGGAAACUCGGGCUAAUACCGCAUAAUAUCGAGAGAUUAAAGCUGGGGCAACCUGGCACUUCAAGAGGAGCCUGCGUACGAUUAGCUAGUUGGUAGGGUAAAGGCCUACCAAGGCGAUGAUCGUUAACUGGUCUGAGAGGAUGAUCAGUCACACUGGAACUGAGACACGGUCCAGACUCCUACGGGAGGCAGCAGUGGGGAAUAUUGGACAAUGGGGGCAACCCUGAUCCAGCAAUGCCGCGUGUGUGAAGAAGGCCUUCGGGUUGUAAAGCACUUUUGGCAGGGAGGAAGAUGUGGAGUUUAAGAGACACUACAUUUGACUGUACCUGCAGAAUAAGCACCGGCUAACUCUGUGCCAGCAGCCGCUGUAA
rnacentral:rRNA from 1 species